UUCUACAGUAAAUGAUAGCUAUGUUUGUUUCCAAAGGAUACCUAAAGAUACAGCUCCUAUAUGUUUUCUAAAAGAAACAAGCUGUGUCCACUGAAUCAGUCUCACACACAGUAUGAUGUUGUUGUCUGACUUUGUUGUUUUUCACCACUUUGGCUUAUGAGUACACUGCUGCAUUUCAUUCAGUUGCUUCAAUUUUGUUGUGAUGCGAGUUGAGUUUAUGAGGGAAAUAAAUAACAUAACAUUCUUCCACUAUGUGACAUGCUGUACAGAAAGACAGAAAGCGGAGAAUGUUUACCAGUUCACCAUGUAGUAAGCCAAAGCGGUUUCUGGACACUGAGGUGCUAUUCCAUGAUGACAAUACAACCUGGAUUCUUGAAGAAAGAAAGACUUUGUUUGAUUCUGACAGUUACACUGUUAUACAGUAGAUGAGCGUUAGUGAACAUUUAAUCUGCCCUCAGUGGCACACGCAGCAGGACUUACUCGGUAAUGCAUUUUUAGUAGCUAAAAUUAAGUAACUAUUUUCUUAAGAAAAUGUAUGUCUUUGCCGUGGAAGCUGCUGUGCAUAUUAACUUUGGAAGUGUCUAACAAAUGUUAAUCCCAUAACAGAAAUGUUUUAUACAUGUUAUUGCACUUUUAGCAUUAUACUGUAUCAUAGUAAAGAAUUGAGAGAUAUUUUCAAGGUGAGAAUGAUAUGUUUUGUCUUGCAGUAUGAUCGGAAUUUGGAGGGAACUUGUAUUUUUUCAAAAACGUUAUUGAGAGUAUUCACCAACUGGAAGGUUGAUAUGAACAUGAUAAGGUACUGAACAUGUGUCAUGUUGAUUGUGUUUUUGUCAAAACUCAGAUGAUAUUCUUACACCAAAUCACUUGAAAUGUAAUUUGUGUUUGUAUCUAAUACUGCCAGUCUCUUAUUGGCUUGCCAAAUGGAUUUUAUUUUUGCUUACAACAUUGGGAGGAAAAUAACAUUGAACAUAAUAUUUUCUGGAUGGCUUGGGCAGGUUUCACAAUGAGAAUUAUUAAAAAUGUAAAUAUUAAAGAUAUUAACAUGACAUUUGGCUCAUCAAAUGUUUUUUCUUCAGACAACAGACUCAUACAGUAGUCAUAAUAACCGUUUUAAAAUGAUAACGGUAUACUGAGGUAUUCAGAGAAUGUGAACCCCCAAAACUCUUAGGUCUUAUAGCCUAUUGUACAGUAUUGAAUUUAAAUCAUAUUUUAUUGCAUCAGUUUAAUAAUUGUACAACUCUGUGGAUGACAGUUGAAUAAUAUGGUUGACUGUGUUGGAAUCUAACAAAACCCUUUAUCUUGUGCCAGUUCUGGUAACCUUGUCUUCAUGCUGACUAAAAAGUACAAAAUGUAGCCUCAUCACAGCUCCAAGGAUUCUCUUUGAACAUUCCUAUUGAUUGCUUUGACCUGUUACAUUUCAUUCUAUUAUCUGAGAAGGGAAUCCAACUUUACAGGCUCAAACCAAAUGAGGUAAACUUUCAAUACAAAAAACCUUCUUGAAAUGUUUCUUUAGUUCAAAGCUUCUCCUUCUUAAAGGGCAUGUUUUAUUCUGUGUCUCUAUAUUUUCAACUGGGAAGGUGGGUAGUAAUAACAUUGGUGUAUCUGAAGCAUAGAAUUUAUAAGAUGUUUUACUUUGUAAAAGAAACCUCUUGAGACAAACAUGGCAUUGAACUUAUGAAUCAAAGCUGAUGGAAUUAUGAAUCAAAGCUUUUUGCAACUUACUUUUUUACAUGUUCUGUAAAUGGAAGGUCAGCUAUAUAAAAGUCAUGACUAGAAUCAA